AGGAAGCCAACACAGACACAGGAAGAACCUGGACUGCCCCACCUGGGGAUCGAACUCAGGACCUUCUUCCUGUGAGAUUCUCUACGCUUCUAGUUGCUCCCAUCCAUCUAACCCUACAGAUUACUAUGGCAUUUCCAGCUGUCAAAUUUAAUUUGGCUUUAAUUCUUCAUGGCAUGGAUGAGGAGGGUUCCGAGAGUGCUGACGGUCUCUUUCGCCUCUGGUUCAGAUAACGUGCAGCGGUAGCAGUGGCGCAGAGGAAGGCAGGCGGCGGGGUCGAGGAACAGGAGAGCAAUAACGGCGCGUGAGGAAGAUGUAUUCGCUGGUACAGAGGAAGAGAUGGCUCUCCGCUCUAAUCUGAUGGAGUGCCGCAGGAGCGCUCUUUUUCUCUUUCGGGACGAGUGCUUAAGCGCUCCAUCAGCCAGCUCUGAGGGAUGAACAAACCAUACAGCACAGUGCUGGGUCUGUCACAUGAUCCCAGUGCAGCCCAGAGCUGAAAGGCCAAACUAGAAUGUGGUCCACUUUAUCUACUGCAUGCA